rnacentral:misc_RNA from 1 species
AAGUCGUAACAAGGUUUCCGUAGGUGAACCUGCGGAAGGAUCAUUAACAUUUUGUUACCCAAUACCAACCCAAUGUGAACUGUAUCGUCCCUAUUCACGAGGAGAGUGUAGCUGAUUUCGGUCAGCUGCAAUCGAAUCGUGCGAUAGACAAUACCCUUCUAGUAGUCAUCAUUCGACUGGCGCUUCGGUGCUAGUUGUCUUGGUGAUGAACGUAUUCACCACACUCACCCUAUAACUUUAACUUUGACUAAUCUUCAUGAACUUAUUGACUGCUUCACGGUGGUUCAUAAGCUUUACGAAAUAUUGAACAACUCUUAGCAAUGGAUAUCUUGGGUCAU